GGUGAGAUGGCCGAGCGGUCUAAGGCGCCACGUUAAGGUUCAACAACCCUUAAUCCCAAUAUCCGUGGUCCGAAAGGGCGUGGGUUCGAAUCCCACUCUCAUCA